rnacentral:rRNA from 1 species
CAGAGGGGGCUAGCGUUGUUCGGAAUUACUGGGCGUAAAGGGCGCGUAGGCGGCCCUCUAAGUCGAACGUGAAAUCCCCGGGCUCAACCCGGGAACUGCGUCCGAGACUGGCAGGCUCGAAUCCGGGAGAGGGAUGUGGAAUUCCAGGUGUAGCGGUGAAAUGCGUAGAUAUCUGGAGGAACACCGGUGGCGAAGGCGGCAUCCUGGACCGGUAUUGACGCUGAGGCGCGAAAGCCAGGGGAGCAAACGGG